rnacentral:misc_RNA from 1 species
AACCAUAGAAACCUGCGGAGUACCUGCGGAAGGAUCAUUACCGAGUUUACAACUCCCAAACCCCUGUGAACAUACCUAUACGUUGCCUCGGCGGAUCAGCCCGCGCCCCGUAAAACGGGACGGCCCGCCCGAGGACCCUAAACUCUGUUUUUAGUGGAACUUCUGAGUAAAACAAACAAAUAAAUCAAAACUUUCAACAACGGAUCU